GCCUGGGUGGCUCAGUCGGUUGAGCGUCCGACUUCAGCUUGGGUUAUCAUGGUCUCGUGGUUCGUGGGUUCGAGCCCCACGUCGGGCU
rnacentral:tRNA from 1 species